rnacentral:rRNA from 1 species
UACGAAGGGGGCUAGCGUUGCUCGGAAUUACUGGGCGUAAAGGGCGCGUAGGCGGACAGUUUAGUCAGAGGUUAAAGCCCAGGGCUCAACCUUGGAAUCGCCUUUGAUACUGGCUGUCUUGAGUACGGGAGAGGUGUGUGGAACUCCGAGUGUAGAGGUGAAAUUCGUAGAUAUUCGGAAGAACACCAGUGGCGAAGGCGACUACCUGGCCUGUUCUUGACGCUGAGGCGCGAAAGCCAGGGGAGCAAACGGG